rnacentral:misc_RNA from 1 species
CGCACCUUGCGCUCCUUGGUAUUCCGAGGAGCAUGCCUGUUUGAGUGUCAUGGUAUUCUCAACUCUCCAAUGCUUUUGCAAUGAAGAGUUGGAUUUGGAGGUCGUGUCGGCUUGCAAAAGUUGACUCCUCUUAAAUGCAUUAGUGUGAACCUUUACGGAUCGCCUUCAGUGUGAUAAUGUCUACGCUGUGGUGUUGAAGUAUCUCUAGCGUUCACGCUUCUAACAGUCCUCGGACACCCUUUGACAAUCUGACCUCAAAUCAGGUAGGACUACCCGCUGAACUUAA